AUUGUACAAUGUUCAAAUAUUUAUAGGAUUACGAUGGGCAUGCGUGUCAUUAGCUAGUUGGCGGGGUAACGGCCCACCAAGGCGACGAUGACUAGGGGAUCUGAGAGGAUGACCCCCCACACUGGUACUGAGACACGGACCAGACUCCUACGGGAGGCAGCAGUAAGGAAUAUUGGUCAAUGGAGGCAACUCUGAACCAGCCAUGCCGCGUGCAGGAAGACAGCCCUCUGGGUCGUAAACUGCUUUUAUUCGGGAAUAAACCACAUUACGUGUAAUGUGCUGAAUGUACCGAAGGAAUAAGGAUCGGCUAACUCCGUGCCAGCAGCCGCGGUAAUACGGAGGAUCCAAGCGUUAUCCGGAUUUAUUGGGUUUAAAGGGUGCGUAGGCGGCUUAUUAAGUCAGGGGUGAAAGACGGUGGCUCAACCAUCGCAGUGCCUUUGAUACUGAUGAGCUUGAAUACACUAGAGGUAGGCGGAAUGUGACAAGUAGCGGUGAAAUGCAUAGAUAUGUCACAGAACACCGAUUGCGAAGGCAGCUUACUAUGGUGUGAUUGACGCUGAGGCACGAAAGCGUGGGGAUCAAACAGGAUUAGAUACCCUGGUAGUCCACGCCCUAAACGAUGAAUACUCGCUGUUAGCGAUAUACAGAUAGCGGCUAAGCGAAAGCGUUAAGUAUUCCACCUGGGGAGUACGCCCGCAAGGGUGAAACUCAAAGGAAUUGACGGGGGCCCGCACAAGCGGAGGAGCAUGUGGUUUAAUUCGAUGAUACGCGAGGAACCUUACCCGGGCUUGAAAGUUAGUGAAUCAUUUAGAGAUAGAUGAGUCCGCAAGGACACGAAACUAGGUGCUGCAUGGCUGUCGUCAGCUCGUGCCGUGAGGUGUUGGGUUAAGUCCCGCAACGAGCGCAACCCCUAUGUUUAGUUGCCAGCACGUUAUGGUGGGGACUCUAAACAGACUGCCUGUGCAAACAGAGAGGAAGGAGGGGACGACGUCAAGUCAUCAUGGCCCUUACGUCCGGGGCUACACACGUGCUACAAUGGAUGGUACAGAGGGCAGCAAGCUGGCAACAGCAAGCGAAUCUCAAAAAGCCAUUCACAGUUCGGAUAGAGGUCUGCAACUCGACCUCUUGAAGUUGGAUUCGCUAGUAAUCGCGUAUCAGCAAUGACGCGGUGAAUACGUUCCCGGGCCUUGUACACACCACCCGUCAAGCCAUGGAAGUUGGGGGUACCUAAAGUAUGUAACCGUAAGGAGCGUCCUAGGGUAAAACCGAUAACUGGGGCUAAGUCGGAACAAGGUA
rnacentral:rRNA from 1 species